CUAAGCACACUGUUGGUUAUGUGUGCCCAAGCAUUGAGGCAGUCAAAGUAGGCAAAUCCGCUUUGAUAAUGCUGGGAUGUGAUGGGGAGCGAAAUUUAGUAGCGAAGUAGCUGAUUUCACACUGUCAAGAAAAGUCUCUAUCGAGGUUAAAGGUACCCGUACCGCAAACCGACACAGGUGGGUGAGGAGAGUAUCCUAAGGCCAGCGAGAGAACUGUUGUUAAGGAACUCGGCAAAAUGACCCCGUAACUUAGGGAUAAGGGGUGCCACCAUCAGGUGGCCGCAGAGAAUAGGCCCAAGCGACUGUUUACCAAA
rnacentral:rRNA from 1 species